rnacentral:rRNA from 1 species
UGCCAGCCGCCGCGGUAAUACGGAGGGUGCGAGCGUUAAUCGGAAUUACUGGGCAUAAAGCGCACGUAGGCGGCCUAUCAAGUCAGAUGUGAAAGCCCCCGGCCCAACCGGGGAACUGCAUCUGAAACUGGUAGGCUCGAGGAUGGCAGGGGUGAGUGGAACUCCAGGUGGAACGGUGAAAUGUGUAGAUAUCUGGAGGAACACCGGUGGCGAAAGCGGCUCACUGGGCCAUCACUGACGCUGAGGUGCGAAAGCUAGGGUAGCAAACGGGAUUAGAUA